UACAGAGGGUGCAAGCGUUAAUCGGAAUUACUGGGCGUAAAGCGUCCGCAGGUGGCAAUGUAAGUCUGCUGUCAAAGCGUCUGGCUCAACCAGAUACAGGCAGUGGAAACUACAUAGCUAGAGUAAGGUAGGGGUAGAGGGAAUUCCUGGUGUAGCGGUGAAAUGCGUAGAUAUCUGGAGGACCACCGGUGGCGAAGGCGGCAUCCUGGACCGACACUGACGCUGAGGAGCGAAAGCCAGGGGAGCAAACGGG
rnacentral:rRNA from 1 species